rnacentral:lncRNA from 10 species
GGUGGCCUGAUGGCCAAGUGGCCUCGGAUGCCAGGCUCAAUCCUUUGAACUUUUCCUGUGGGCUGUCAGGACCCAUAGAAGGUCUUUGAGCAGCUCAUAGGUCUCUGAAUCAAGAGAAGCCACAUCUGGACCUGAUAUAGAAGAGACUAUUAGAGAUCCUGGGCUUGAGGCUGAUUCCAUGUCAGAUGGGUCACUUAGGUGGUCUCCCUUGGGAAGGGGAUGCAUUUAUUUUGCAUAUGGAAGAAAAUGCAAAGGCAGUAUUUGUAAGGAAGAGGGCAGACGGGGGAAGAUUUUAUAAUUGUUCAAAAACAUUCACUGGGAUGUGUGUGGUGGCUCACGCCUAUAAUCCCAGUGCUUUGGGAGGGUGAAGCAGGAGGAUCACUUGAGGCCAGGAGUUUGAGACCAGCAUGGGCAACAUAGUGAGACCCUAUCUCUACAAAAAAUAAAAC